ACCUGCUGCGGAGAAAUGAAGUGGAUGUGGGAGUCGAUGCCGCCGGCCGUGAUGAUGAGUCCCUCGCCGGCCAGAGCCUCGGUCGAUGCGCCGACCGUCAUGCCCGGCGUCACGCCGUCCAUGGUAUCGGGGUUGCCCGCCUUGCCGAUGCCGGCAAUGAGGCCGUCCUUGAUGCCGAUAUCAGCCUUGUAGAUGCCUGUGUAGUCGACGAUCAGGCAGUUUGUGAUGACCAGAUCCAGGUCGCCGGAGGCGCUUGUCGUCGUGACCGACUGGCCCAUGCCGUCGCGC
rnacentral:sRNA from 1 species